UUCGGACCAUCAAUAUUUAGCCAGCGUCGCACAGUGGGACAGAGUGUGCCAAAAUACAAAAAAAUCACUCUACUACUACCACGUUGUGAUGAUACUAAAUACAAUUGCUAAAUUUAUUUAAACACAACAUUUAAAUGCAUCAUAACAGAACUUUAAUUCUAUAAUAGAUUUCGUUAAGGCUGUUGAUUCAGUACCACAUCAGAGAUUAUUGUUAAAAUUAUCAGCUUAUUGUAUAAAAGACAAGUUAUUGAAAUGGAUUGCAGAUUUUUUAUAUUCACGAAAACAAUGAGUUCUUAUGGGUGACUUUAUAUCAAUUUGGGGUAAUUCCAUGUCAAUUGAGCCAGAAAAUUUCAAAAAUGUCACCAUACAUCUCAGAUUUUGCUGAUUUUUAUACAGUUGAGAGUACUUAGUAAAACAAAAAAUCCUUGAAAAUUUUAGCUUCUAGCUCCAAGAGGAUCAUGAAAUAUGAUCAUUUUACUUUUAACUGAUCUUGGCCAGGCCCCUCUUGUCCCCUCAGAAGUGUGACCUUUGUUUAAAGGUUCCAAGUCACAUAGCUUUAAAAAUAUUUGAUCUUUUGACUUAAAAAUUUGUACCUGGCUAUUUUCAGGGUCGAAGAAUCCAAUGAAAUA